rnacentral:lncRNA from 1 species
CACGUUUUUUCCCCGCCUUUUCCAAGCCACGCCCAACCCCCCGCCCCGCCCCCACUUCACAAAACCCCUCCCACACUUCCAUAUUUGGCGUUUAGGGGGCGGAGACUUCCGGGGAGGGGGCGUGUCCGGCGGCUGCCCCACAAGUGAAGCUCUUGGGGAGGGGGGAGGGGUUUCAAAGUUCCGUUUUCUGCCCCAAAAAUCCCAAUUUUGGGGUCUUUAAAAGUUCCUUUUUCUGCCCCAAAAUGAAACUCGAGGGGGGGGGAAACUCAAAGUUCGUUUUUUUUUGCCCCAAAAAAGUCGAAAUUUUGGGGUUUUAAAGUCGAUUUUUCUGCCCCAUAAGUGAAGUUUGGGGUCUUAAAGUUCCUUUUUCUGCCCCAUAAGUGAAAUUUUGGGGUUUUAAAGUUGCUUUUUCUGCCCCAUAAGUUGAGAUUUGGGGUCUUAAAGUUGAUUUUUCUGCCCCAUAAGUGAAGUUUGGGGUCUUAAAGUUGAUUUUUCUGCCCCACAAGUGAACUUGGGGGUCGCUGGAGUCGAUUUUCUGCCCCACAAGUUGAGAUUUGGGGUCUUAAAAUCCGAUCUCUGCCCCACAAGUGAAGUUUGGGGUCUUGAAGUUGAUUUUUCUGCCCCACAAGUGAACUUGGGGGUCGCUGGAAUCCGUUUCUGCCCCACAAGUGGAAAUUUGGGGUCUCAGGCUCCGUUUCUGCCCCAUAGAUGGAAUUUUGGGGGGUCCAAGUCCAUUCUCUGCCCCACAAGUGGAACUUGGGGGUCUCCAGGUGCCCCACAAGUGAAUUUUGGGGGUCUCCAAGUCCAUUCUCUGCCCCAUAGAUGGAAUUUGGGGGGUCCAAGUCCAUUUCCUGCCCCACAAGUGGAACUUGGGGGUCUCGGGCUCCGUCUCUGCCCCACAAGUGAAAUUUUGGGCGUCUCCAAGUCCGUUCUCUGCCCCACAAGUGAACUUUGGGUUCUCAAGUCCAUUCUCUGCCCCACAAGUGGAACUUGGGGGUCUCGGGCUCCGUUUCUGCCCCACAAGUGAAUUUUGGGGGUCUCCAAGUCCAUUCUCUGCCCCAUAGAUGGAAUUUUAGGGGGUCCAAGUCUCGUUCUCUGCCCCACAAGUGGAACUUGGGGGUCUCAGGUUCCAUUUCCUGCCCCAUAGAUGGAAUUUUGGGGGGUCCAAG